GCAGCUGGUCGUGGCUGGUCGGUCCGGCGCCAAUAUGGCCGACCAACAUUGACAGGCAAGCCGUAAAAUAAAAUAUUUAUUAAUUGUAAUAGAAUUACGUUUAUUAUCUACAGUUUACCUUCAUUUUAACGCCUAUAUAUGUUAAGAGGUUAUAAACGAAUGGUUUCCGUACAAGUGUUUUUCAUUUGUAUUAGCAUUUAUUUUAUGUUACCUUUUAGCGCAAAGUACGCCAACAGAAUACUUAAUUCAGUCGAAACAAUUGGAAAAACUUUGUUUGUUGAUGAGAACGGGAUACCUAUACCAUAAGUAAACUUUCCCUAUUAUACCAGUUAUGCUGUAGUUAGUUUUGACAAAUAAGCAUGAUUUAACGAAAGUCUUUG
rnacentral:lncRNA from 1 species